rnacentral:rRNA from 1 species
GACGAACGCUGGCGGCGUGCCUAAUACAUGCAAGUUGAGCGAUGAAGCUUGGUGCUUGCACCCAUUUGAAGAGCAGCGAACGGGUGAGUAACGCGUGGGGAAUCUGCCUUUGAGCGGGGGACAACAUUUGGAAACGAAUGCUAAUACCGCAUAACAACUUUAAACAUAAGUUUUAAGUUUUAAAGAUGCAAUUGCAUCACUCAAAGAUGAUCCCGCGUUGUAUUAGCUAGUUGGUGAGGUAAAGGCUCACCAAGGCGAUGAUACAUAGCCGGCCUGAGAGGGUGAUCGGCCACAAUGGGAAUGAGACAAGGCCCAAACUCCUACGGGAGGCAGCAGUAGGGAAUCUUCGGCAAUGGACGAAAGUCUGACCGAGCAACGCCGCGUGAGUGAAGAAGGUUUUCGGAUCGUAAAACUCUGUUGGUAGAGAAGAAAGGUGGUGAGAGUGGAAAGCUCAUCAAGUGACGGUAACUACACAGAAAGGGACGGCUAACUACGUG